GGCGGGGUCGGAGGUCCUCGCAACCUCUUCCAGGCCGCCGUGGGCACGGUCCCUCCCUACCUGAACACAAAGAUGACUUUUACCCUGGGUAUCAGAAAUAUCUACAGGAGUGACACUGCACCUGCUAAAGGCCUGCAGCAUACAGACCCCAAGACUGUUAUAAGCAGGGAGAUAACCUGGAUGCUCCAUACCUGAGCCAGUUCUCUCUCUACUCGACCCUAACUGCAUCCUCCUACACCACAGAAACAUAGGCCUUUGUGUGUCUGAUCAAGAAGGAGGUGUUUUUUAAGCAGGAAUGCAGAGUCUAGGGUGGAAAUUUCAGCAAGCUUAUGGCUCUGGGCAUUGGUGUGCUACUCCCUGGCACUUUGGUUUUUAUUACCAUGGCUACACUUCCCACACCCUGCGACCAUGGGCAUUCACUGGUUUCAUGUUGCUUUUUCAUUUGAACACCAUACAGCAUUUUUUUAAGCCCCAGUAGUCAGAGGCAUUUGUUUGCAGAAC